ACCAGCAAUGUUCUACAGUAACCAAAAUUCUGGUGGUCCUCAACAUCCAGACACUGGAAGAAACAUGUCACUCCAGGAAGCUACUUAAAUGUCAAAGAAGACUAUGUAAGAUGGUAUCUGUGAGAUCAGCAAUUCUGUGGAUAAAUAACUGAGGAACAGAUGACUGUGUUCUAGAGAUGAUAAAGUUUCACUCCAAUCUGUUCCAUGGGAACUUCUAUUACAUUGCUUGGAAGAAAGCAUCCUUGAACAAUUCUUCUGACCUGGAAGUCAGCCUAGCCCACAUCUGCUAAACCUUCCUAAAAAUAAAUAGUGGGUAUACUCAGUACCUGGGUAGUGAAAGGAAAUUUGUGGGAAGCUCUGAGACUCUGGAUUUAUAUAAGAAUCACCUAUAACAACAAGAGACUAUCUCCUGCUGGGUAUGGAUCACAGACACCAAACCCACCUCUGAGCUGUGACUAAAGCCUUUGGAAGGUUUUAGUCUCUUGGCCCACCACAGUGAUGAAAGGCACUUCUGAGCACAACUACCACUUAAAAUCCAGUAAAAAUUUUGGGAACAGUGUAUGUGCUUAAUUUCCAUCACAGAUUUGGCACUAAAGUCUCAGCAGCCUCUGAUCCUUGGGUAUACGUAUACUGAAGGGGAAGAAAAUAAGAA
rnacentral:lncRNA from 1 species